GCACUGCUGAGGAGUCCCAUAAUAGGACGAAACGGCUUUUCAGUGC
rfam:Schistosoma haematobium scaffold636_4, whole genome shotgun sequence.